rnacentral:ncRNA from 2 species
UGUUAAUAGGGGAAUGAUGUCUCCCUCAGUUUUUACUGAAACCGCAAUGAACUUGCUAAUGACUUCUGCCUCAGU